AGUGAACGCUGGCGGUAGGCCUAACACAUGCCAGUCGAACGGCAGCACAGUAAGAGCUUGCUCUUACGGGUGGCGAGUGGCGGACGGGUGAGGAAUACAUCGGAAUCUACUUUUUCGUGGGGGAUAACGUAGGGAAACUUACGCUAAUACCGCAUACGACCUACGGGUGAAAGCAGGGGAUCUUCGGACCUUGCGCGAUUGAAUGAGCCGAUGUCGGAUUAGCUAGUUGGCGGGGUAAAGGCCCACCAAGGCGACGAUCCGUAGCUGGUCUGAGAGGUUGAUCAGCCACACUGGAACUGAGACACGGUCCAGACUCCUACGGGAGGCAGCAGUGGGGAAUAUUGGACAAUGGGCGCAAGCCUGAUCCAGCCAUACCGCGUGGGUGAAGAAGGCCUUCGGGUUGUAAAGCCCUUUUGUUGGGAAAGAAAAGCAGCAGGUUAAUACCCCGCUGUUCUGACGGUACCUAAAGAAUAAGCACCGGCUAACUUCGUG
rnacentral:rRNA from 1 species